rnacentral:rRNA from 1 species
GAUGAACGCUAGCGGCAGGCUUAAUACAUGCAAGACGAACGGUAACAUUUGUAGCAAUACGGAUGCUAGAGUGUCGUACGGGUGCGUAACACGUAUGCAACCUACCUUGUACAGGAGGAUAGCUCGGGGAAACUCGAAUUAACCCUCCAUGAUAUAAUGAGAAGGCAUCUUUUUAUUAUUAAAACUGAGGUGGUACAAGAUGGGCAUGCGACUGAUUAGUUAGUUGGCGGGGUAAUGGCCCACCAAGACGAUGAUCAGUAGGGGACCUGAGAGGGUGAUCCCCCACACUGGCACUGAGAUACGGGCCAGACUCCUACGGGAGGCAGCAGUAGGGAAUAUUGGACAAUGGGUGAGAGCCUGAUCCAGCCAUGCCGCGUGCAGGAAGAAGGCGUUAUGCGUUGUAAACUGCUUUUGCCAGGGGAUAAAAUAACUGUGCGCAGUUGAUUGAAGGUACCUGGUGAAUAAGCCACGGCUAACUACGUGCC